rnacentral:rRNA from 1 species
AACGAACGCUGGCGGCAGGCUUAGCACAUGCAAGUCGAACGCCCCGCAAGGGGAGUGGCAGACGGGUGAGUAACGCGUGGGAAUCUACCCAUCCCUACGGAAUAACGCAUGGAAACGUGUGCUAAUACCGUAUACGCCCUACGGGGGAAAGAUUUAUCGGGGAUGGAUGAGCCCGCGUUGGAUUAGCUAGUUGGUGGGGUAAAGGCCUACCAAGGCGACGAUCCAUAGCUGGUCUGAGAGGAUGAUCAGCCACAUUGGGACUGAGACACGGCCCAAACUCCUACGGGAGGCAGCAGUGGGGAAUAUUGGACAAUGGGCGCAAGCCUGAUCCAGCCAUGCCGCGUGAGUGAUGAAGGCCUUAGGGUUGUAAAGCUCUUUCACCGGAGAAGAUAAUGACGGUAUCCGGAGAAGAAGCCCCGGCUAACUUCGUG